rnacentral:rRNA from 1 species
AUUGCCUUAGUAACGGCGAGUGAAGUGGCAAAAGCUCAGAUUUGAAAUCGAGUGUUUUUAUAGGCACUUGAGUUGUAAUCUGUAGAGGAGUUUUCAGAGGAUGACUAUGGUUAAAGUGCCUUGGAAAAGGACAUCAUAGAGGGUGAGAAUCCUGUUUAUGGCCUUAGUACUUCUCUAUUAUGAAUCUCCUUCAAUGAGUCGAGUUGUUUGGGAAUGCAGCUCUAAAUGGGUGGUAAAUUCCAUCUAAAGCUAAAUAUUGGCAAGAGACCGAUAGCGCACAAAGUAGAGUGAUCGAAAGAUGAAAAGAACUCUGAACAGAGAGUUAAAAAGUACGUGAAAUUGUUGAAAGGGAAGCACUUGUGACCAGACAAAUUCGCUAUUAAUCAGCCUAUCAAUUUUUGGUGGUGCACUUAAUGGUGAGUGGGUUAGCAUCAGUUAUAAUAGUGGGAAAAAGGCCGCGGGAAUGUAGCUCCUCUUCGAGGAGUGUUAUAGCCUGUGGUUUAAUACUACUUAAUAUGACUGAGGAUGCAC